rfam:Nicotiana sylvestris Nsyl_contig46866, whole genome shotgun sequence.
AUACCUUUCUCGGCCUUUUGGCUAAGAUCAAGUGUAGUAUCUGUUCUUAUCAGUUUAAUAUCUGAUAUGUGAGUCAUCGACUCACACGAUAUUAACUCUAUUUUUUAAGGGGGAGAGUCCAUUAAGGUAGCUUGCUACUUGGGCUCUCAAGCGUCGCUUUGGCGUUGCACUUCAGCCAAAGCCUGGCGUACCCCAC